GCGAAAGGGUGAGUAACACGUGGGUGAUCUGCCUCGCACUUCGGGAUAAGCCUGGGAAACUGGGUCUAAUACCGGAUAUGACCUUUCAGUGCAUGCUGUUGGGUGGAAAGAUUUAUCGGUGCGAGAUGGGCCCGCGGCCUAUCAGCUUGUUGGCGGGGUAACGGCCCACCAAGGCGACGACGGGUAGCCGACCUGAGAGGGUGACCGGCCACACUGGGACUGAGACACGGCCCAGACUCCUACGGGAGGCAGCAGUGGGGAAUAUUGCACAAUGGGCGAAAGCCUGAUGCAGCGACGCCGCGUGAGGGAUGACGGCCUUCGGGUUGUAAACCUCUUUCGACAGGGACGAAGCGCAAGUGACGGUACCUGUAGAAGAAGCACCGGCCAACUACGUGCCAGCAGCCGCGGUAAUACGUAGGGUGCGAGCGUUGUCCGGAAUUACUGGGCGUAAAGAGCUUGUAGGCGGUUUGUCGCGUCGUCCGUGAAAACUUGGGGCUCAACCCCAAGCUUGCGGGCGAUACGGGCAGACUUGAGUACUUCAGGGGAGACUGGAAUUCCUGGUGUAGCGGUGAAAUGCGCAGAUAUCAGGAGGAACACCGGUGGCGAAGGCGGGUCUCUGGGAAGUAACUGACGCUGAGAAGCGAAAGCGUGGGUAGCGAACAGGAUUAGAUACCCUGGUAGUCCACGCCGUAAACGGUGGGUACUAGGUGUGGGUUUCCUUCCACGGGAUCCGUGCCGUA
rnacentral:rRNA from 1 species